GAUGAACGCUGGCGGCGUGCUUAACACAUGCAAGUCGAACGAAGCAUUUAGAACGGAUUACUUCGGUUUGAAGUUCUUUAUGACUGAGUGGCGGACGGGUGAGUAACGCGUGGGUAACCUGCCUUGUACUGGGGGAUAGCAGCUGGAAACGGCUGGUAAUACCGCAUAAGCGCACAAUGUUGCAUGACAUGGUGGGAAAAACUCCGGUGGUAUAAGAUGGACCCGCGUCUGAUUAGCUAGUUGGUGAGAUAACAGCCCACCAAGGCGACGAUCAGUAGCCGACCUGAGAGGGUGACCGGCCACAUUGGGACUGAGACACGGCCCAGACUCCUACGGGAGGCAGCAGUGGGGAAUAUUGCACAAUGGAGGAAACUCUGAUGCAGCGACGCCGCGUGAGUGAAGAAGUAAUUCGUUAUGUAAAGCUCUAUCAGCAGGGAAGAUAGUGACGGUACCUGACUAAGAAGCUCCGGCUAAAUACGUGCCAGCAGCCGCGGUAAUAC
rnacentral:rRNA from 1 species